rnacentral:rRNA from 1 species
UGCAGCUAACGCAUUAAGCACUCCGCCUGGGGAGUACGACCGCAAGGUUGAAACUCAAAGGAAUUGACGGGGGCCCGCACAAGCGGUGGAGCAUGUGGUUUAAUUCGAAGCAACGCGAAGAACCUUACCAGGUCUUGACAUCCUUUGACCACUCUGGAGACAGAGCUUUCCCUUCGGGGACAAAGUGACAGGUGGUGCAUGGUUGUCGUCAGCUCGUGUCGUGAGAUGUUGGGUUAAGUCCCGCAACGAGCGCAACCCUUGAUUUUAGUUGCCAGCAUUUAGUUGGGCACUCUAAAGUGACUGCCGGUGCAAGCCGGAGGAAGGUGGGGAUGACGUCAAAUCAUCAUGCCCCUUAUGACCUGGGCUACACACGUGCUACAAUGGAUAGUACAAAGGGUCGCGAAGCCGCGAGGUGGAGCUAAUCCCAUAAAACUAUUCUCAGUUCGGAUUGUAGGCUGCAACUCGCCUACAUGAAGCCGGAAUCGCUAGUAAUCGUGGAUCAGCAUGCCACGGUGAAUACGUUCCCGGGCCUUGUACACACCGCCCGUCACACCACGAGAGUUUGUAACA